AGUGAACGCUGGCGGCGUGCCUAAUACAUGCAAGUCGAACGGAGAUUAAGUAGCUUGCUAUUUAAUCUUAGUGGCGCACGGGUGAGUAAUAUAUAGCUAACUUGCCCAUUACUAAGGGACAACAGUUGGAAACGACUGCUAAUACCUUAUACUCCGUAUCUAUACAAGUAGAUACGGGAAAGUUUUUCGGUAAUGGAUAGGGCUAUAUCGUAUCAGCUAGUUGGUAAGGUAAUGGCUUACCAAGGCUAUGACGCGUAACUGGUCUGAGAGGAUGAUCAGUCACACUGGAACUGAGACACGGUCCAGACUCCUACGGGAGGCAGCAGUAGGGAAUAUUGCUCAAUGGGGGAAACCCUGAAGCAGCAACGCCGCGUGGAGGAUGACACUUUUCGGAGCGUAAACUCCUUUUCUUGGGAAAGAAUUAUGACGGUACCCAAGGAAUAAGCACCGGCUAACUCCGUG
rnacentral:rRNA from 1 species